UUAACGUAUAAUAUAAUAGUGAGUCGUACACUGUACAAUCAAUAGUUCGGUUAAUCGUCGUUAAUUUUUUUUUUAAAUUGUUCAUUAGACUCAUUUUAAGUAUCGUGUUAAUUUGUUUGUAAUGCUUAUUUUUAUAAUAAAAUGAAUAACGCGACGGACCGAAUACUUUUUAAUUACUUAAUGGAAAACUCAAACAUCUUGAGAUGGUUUGUUUUCAUUAAAUUUUUUUUAGUUGAAUGGUUUGAAAAAAAACUGUUUUUGUACGUAUACCUUAUACCUUUAUAACCUCGUAUACCUUAGGCACACUCAUUUCUUCAACGAACAUGAAAUAUAUUUAUACGGGGUGGUUCAAUACGAAAAUCUCACUCCUAUUUAUUUGUUUAACAAUACCUACUGAAAAUAUCGACUUAUCGACACACACUCACAAAGCACUGUGUUUUUGAAGUUUAAUCACAAUGAAAAUAUAUUGUGUAAGCUGCGCGCUUGCGCUCCGCAUACCUAUAUUACAUUUUGCUUCAUCCAAACACAUAAUAAUGGUUCAACUAAGUAGAGAAUAGUAUAAUAGGUCUUGGUAUAUUACUAUUUAUUAUGGAUCAGGGAAACUAGCAGGACGGUCUCCGACCUGGAUUGUUCAUCGCCGUCUGAAGGGAUAUCUAUAGGUAUAGUCGAUCGCGGUCCGGGCCCGGGUCGCAUUGACCAGUACUGCAGGAUAGGUAUUUUCAUAAUAUAUUGUACAGUUAUCGUAUACAUACGCUGCUCUAAGACAAUUGACCGACCAUCCAUCUAUACACCGCAGCGAACGUUGCUAUAUAGAUAGGACUCGCCGUCAUAUUGUUGUUGUAAAAUAAUAUACUGUACUUUUUAUUACAUCGAGCGAAAAUUGUUAAAUUAAAAAAAUAAAACAAACUGAAACACGCCAUCGUGUUAUAUACGUCAUAUUUUGUUGUGCAUAGCGUACCUGAAUUCAA